rnacentral:rRNA from 1 species
GAUGAACGCUGGCGGCGUGCCUAAUACAUGCAAGUCGAGCGAACGGACGAGAAGCUUGCUUCUCUGAUGUUAGCGGCGGACGGGUGAGUAACACGUGGAGAACCUACCUUUAAGACUGGGAUAACUUCGGGAAACCGGAGCUAAUACCGGAUGAUAUUUUGAACCGCAUGGUUCAAAAGUGAAAGACGGUCUUGCUGUCACUUAUAGAUGGAUCCGCGCUGCAUUAGCUAGUUGGUAAGGUAACGGCUUACCAAGGCAACGAUGCAUAGCCGACCUGAGAGGGUGAUCGGCCACACUGGAACUGAGACACGGUCCAGACUCCUACGGGAGGCAGCAGUAGGGAAUAUUCCGCAAUGGGCGAAAGCCUGACGGAGCAACGCCGCGUGAGUGAUGAAGGUCUUCGGAUCGUAAAACUCUGUUAUUAGGGAAGAACAUAUGUGUAAGUAACUGUGCACAUCUUGACGGUACCUAAACAGAAAGCCACGGCUAACUACGUG